AUUGAACGCUGGCGGCAGGCCUAACACAUGCAAGUCGAGCGGAUGAAGGGAGCUUGCUCCUGGAUUCAGCGGCGGACGGGUGAGUAAUGCCUAGGAAUCUGCCUGGUAGUGGGGGAUAACGUCCGGAAACGGGCGCUAAUACCGCAUACGUCCUGAGGGAGAAAGUGGGGGAUCUUCGGACCUCACGCUAUCAGAUGAGCCUAGGUCGGAUUAGCUAGUUGGUGGGGUAAAGGCCUACCAAGGCGACGAUCCGUAACUGGUCUGAGAGGAUGACCAGUCACACUGGAACUGAGACACGGUCCAGACUCCUACGGGAGGCAGCAGUGGGGAAUAUUGGGCGAUGGGCGAAAGCCUGAUCCAGCCAUGCCGCGUGUGUGAAGAAGGUCUUCGGAUUGUAAAGCACUUUAAGUUGGGAGGAAGGGCAGUAAGUUAAUACCUUGCUGUUUUGACGUUACCAACAGAAUAAGCACCGGCUAACUUCGUG
rnacentral:rRNA from 1 species